CCCUUAGAUGUUCUGGGCCGCACGCGUGCUACACUGAGUAAAUCAAUGGGUAAGGGAACACGAAAGUGCAACCUAAUCUUGAAAUUUGCUCGUGAUGGGGAUCGACGGUUGCAAUUUUCCGUCGUGAACGAGGAAUACCUUGUAGGCGCGUGUCAUCAUCACGCGCCGAAUACGUCCCUGCCCUUUGUACACACCGCCCGUCGCUCCUACCGAUUGAUUGAUCCGGUGAAUUACAUAGAAUUUUGCGUUUUACAUGACGGAAGAUGAAGUGUUUUAAACCUUAUCAUUUAGAGGAAGGAGAAGUCGUAACA
rnacentral:rRNA from 1 species